rnacentral:rRNA from 1 species
GUACACGGUGGAUGCCCUGGCAGUCAGAGGCGAUGAAGGACGUGCUAAUCUGCGAUAAGCGUCGGUAAGGUGAUAUGAACCGUUAUAACCGGCGAUUUCCGAAUGGGGAAACCCAGUGUGAUUCGUCACACUAUCAUUAACUGAAUCCAUAGGUUAAUGAGGCGAACCGGGGGAACUGAAACAUCUAAGUACCCCGAGGAAAAGAAAUCAACCGAGAUUCCCCCAGUAGCGGCGAGCGAACGGGGAGCAGCCCAGAGCCUGAAUCAGUGUGUGUGUUAGUGGAAGCGUCUGGAAAGGCGCGCGAUACAGGGUGACAGCCCCGUACACAAAAAUGCACAUGCUGUGAGCUCGAUGAGUAGGGCGGGACACGUGGUAUCCUGUCUGAAUAUGGGGGGACCAUCCUCCAAGGCUAAAUACUCCUGACUGACCGAUAGUGAACCAGUACCGUGAGGGAAAGGCGAAAAGAACCCCGGCGAGGGGAGUGAAAAAGAACCUGAAACCGUGUACGUACAAGCAGUGGGAGCACGCUUAGGCGUGUGACUGCGUACCUUUUGUAUAAUGGGUCAGCGACUUAUAUUCUGUAGCAAGGUUAACCGAAUAGGGGAGCCGAAGGGAAACCGAGUCUUAACUGGGCGUUAAGUUGCAGGGUAUAGACCCGAAACCCGGUGAUCUAGCCAUGGGCAGGUUGAAGGUUGGGUAACACUAACUGGAGGACCGAACCGACUAAUGUUGAAAAAUUAGCGGAUGACUUGUGGCUGGGGGUGAAAGGCCAAUCAAACCGGGAGAUAGCUGGUUCUCCCCGAAAGCUAUUUAGGUAGCGCCUCGUGAAUUCAUCUCCGGGGGUAGAGCACUGUUUCGGCAAGGGGGUCAUCCCGACUUACCAACCCGAUGCAAACUGCGAAUACCGGAGAAUGUUAUCACGGGAGACACACGGCGGGUGCUAACGUCCGUCGUGAAGAGGGAAACAACCCAGACCGCCAGCUAAGGUCCCAAAGUCAUGGUUAAGUGGGAAACGAUGUGGGAAGGCCCAGACAGCCAGGAUGUUGGCUUAGAAGCAGCCAUCAUUUAAAGAAAGCGUAAUAGCUCACUGGUCGAGUCGGCCUGCGCGGAAGAUGUAACGGGGCUAAACCAUGCACCGAAGCUGCGGCAGCGACACUGUGUGUUGUUGGGUAGGGGAGCGUUCUGUAAGCCUGCGAAGGUGUGCUGUGAGGCAUGCUGGAGGUAUCAGAAGUGCGAAUGCUGACAUAAGUAACGAUAAAGCGGGUGAAAAGCCCGCUCGCCGGAAGACCAAGGGUUCCUGUCCAACGUUAAUCGGGGCAGGGUGAGUCGACCCCUAAGGCGAGGCCGAAAGGCGUAGUCGAUGGGAAACAGGUUAAUAUUCCUGUACUUGGUGUUACUGCGAAGGGGGGACGGAGAAGGCUAUGUUGGCCGGGCGACGGUUGUCCCGGUUUAAGCGUGUAGGCUGGUUUUCCAGGCAAAUCCGGAAAAUCAAGGCUGAGGCGUGAUGACGAGGCACUACGGUGCUGAAGCAACAAAUGCCCUGCUUCCAGGAAAAGCCUCUAAGCAUCAGGUAACAUCAAAUCGUACCCCAAACCGACACAGGUGGUCAGGUAGAGAAUACCAAGGCGCUUGAGAGAACUCGGGUGAAGGAACUAGGCAAAAUGGUGCCGUAACUUCGGGAGAAGGCACGCUGAUAUGUAGGUGAAGUCCCUCGCGGAUGGAGCUGAAAUCAGUCGAAGAUACCAGCUGGCUGCAACUGUUUAUUAAAAACACAGCACUGUGCAAACACGAAAGUGGACGUAUACGGUGUGACGCCUGCCCGGUGCCGGAAGGUUAAUUGAUGGGGUCAGCGCAAGCGAAGCUCUUGAUCGAAGCCCCGGUAAACGGCGGCCGUAACUAUAACGGUCCUAAGGUAGCGAAAUUCCUUGUCGGGUAAGUUCCGACCUGCACGAAUGGCGUAAUGAUGGCCAGGCUGUCUCCACCCGAGACUCAGUGAAAUUGAACUCGCUGUGAAGAUGCAGUGUACCCGCGGCAAGACGGAAAGACCCCGUGAACCUUUACUAUAGCUUGACACUGAACAUUGAGCCUUGAUGUGUAGGAUAGGUGGGAGGCUUUGAAGUGUGGACGCCAGUCUGCAUGGAGCCGACCUUGAAAUACCACCCUUUAAUGUUUGAUGUUCUAACGUUGACCCGUGAUCCGGGUUGCGGACAGUGUCUGGUGGGUAGUUUGACUGGGGCGGUCUCCUCCUAAAGAGUAACGGAGGAGCACGAAGGUUGGCUAAUCCUGGUCGGACAUCAGGAGGUUAGUGCAAUGGCAUAAGCCAGCUUGACUGCGAGCGUGACGGCGCGAGCAGGUGCGAAAGCAGGUCAUAGUGAUCCGGUGGUUCUGAAUGGAAGGGCCAUCGCUCAACGGAUAAAAGGUACUCCGGGGAUAACAGGCUGAUACCGCCCAAGAGUUCAUAUCGACGGCGGUGUUUGGCACCUCGAUGUCGGCUCAUCACAUCCUGGGGCUGAAGUAGGUCCCAAGGGUAUGGCUGUUCGCCAUUUAAAGUGGUACGCGAGCUGGGUUUAGAACGUCGUGAGACAGUUCGGUCCCUAUCUGCCGUGGGCGCUGGAGAACUGAGGGGGGCUGCUCCUAGUACGAGAGGACCGGAGUGGACGCAUCACUGGUGUUCGGGUUGUCAUGCCAAUGGCACUGCCCGGUAGCUAAAUGCGGAAGAGAUAAGUGCUGAAAGCAUCUAAGCACGAAACUUGCCCCGAGAUGAGUUCUCCCUGACUCCUUGAGAGUCCUGAAGGAACGUUGAAGACGACGACGUUGAUAGGCCGGGUGUGUAAGCGCAGCGAUGCGUUGAGCUAACCGGUACUAAUGAACCGUGAGGCUUAACCUUACAACGCCGAAGGUGUUU